rnacentral:lncRNA from 1 species
CCUGCUCACACAGAGACAAAGCAAACAGAAAGGCGGCAGAAAGUGCGGCGUGUUUAAAUUUUAUUCCAAGUAAAAUUUUCCUUAAAUAAAAAAAAAGCCUACUGAAAGCAUUUUUCUCAUAAACCCACAGGUGCUCAUAAAUAAUACAAGAAGGAGUGCCCUGGUCACCCAUCCCGAAAGAGCAGAUGCACCGGUGGAGACAGCUUAUUCCUCUGCCCCGCUGCCCCCCCGCCCCCGUGCCAUGAUGAGGACGUCAUCCGUGUCUUUUCUACACCCCGGCAUGAGGACCAGCGUCAUGAGCAGACCGUGAUGGUCUGUUCAUGCUGGGCACAAGAGGCACCGCAGCUUCCCUUAUACACUAACAGCGUGAAGUGGUGAUAGGAAUAAUUCAUUUUCUAGAUCCGUACACACACAUGGACUGGUGAAAUAAUGACAGCACUGAACCUAAACACUGUGGAACAUUAUAUAGUCAUUUAAAAUGACAAAGCAGAAAUAACUUUUUUUUAUAUUGGCGCAUGCCUGUAAUCCCAGCACUCACAGGCAUCACUGCAAGUUCAAGGCCAGCCUGGGCUACACAGUGAGGCCCCGUCUCAAAACAACGACAACAACAAUAAAUAAAUAAAUAAGGAAAAUUUCUCUCUGUCUCCCUUUCUCUCUCUCACACACACACAUACAUACACACACACGUAAUUUUAAAAUCUGUUUACAGGUCUGACAAACACAAGCUAGCUAAGAAGUAUUAAUGCCACAUCUCACUGGAUAUUUAAGAUACAGGAAAAGAACGGGAAAACAUUUUCUCUUUUCCCUGUGAAUUUACUUUUGCUUCAAAGCUGUGCAGACCGUGUCAGGGCUGCAGUCUCUGGUCUCCCACGGGUGGCGACCACAGGAAUGUUUAUCAUGUGGCCAUUGGGGGGCCACCCCUGCCCUGGCUGGUGGCAGCUCUAGAGGUGACCUCGGUAUCCACAAGCCACUGGAUGAUCACGCAGAUCAAAGUGAAGACAGCUGAGACAGCCGCUGGUCUUAGAACUCAGGCACUCGGUGUGGAGGCUGCGUCAUCAUCGGUGUCUUCUAUCCAGUCCCACGCACAUCUGGAGCUCCGGGCCCAGCGUCAUCUGCCAGCAGCCAUGGGAGUCUCGCUGCCAAGCACGAUGUUCCAAUGGAUUCUGUCCCUAAAGAGGCUCCGGCUUGCACGGAGAGGACCCAGGCGGGGGCCUGGCCAGGUGGGGGCCGGCGAUGUGCAGCAGCUGUGGUCCCCAAGCACAUGGGACAGAGCCCCCUCCGUCCCACGGAUGCUCUCCGUGUGGUUUCACUUACCCGUGGUUAAUUGCAGUCUGAAACUAUUAAAUGGAAAACUCUAAACGAUUCACGAAUUUGACAUAGCUUUUAUUACAGUAUACAAAAACAGUAUAGGGUACCGUAGAAUCCCUUGGAGGCUGAGGCAAGAGGGUGGCAAGGGUGAGGUGUCAUACUGAGGUUUCAGGCACCCAGUGGGGAUCUUGGGCUGGAUCCCCACAGAGAACAGGGGCGGCUCUGUGUGCAAAUGUAUGUUCACGUCACUGCCUCUGCCUGGGAUGCCCCCAUGAAGUUAAUCAGCAGCACCUGGAAUUUGGACCCUAACAGAACUGGACUUGCUGUACCUUUUAGACACUUUACAACCGCAGGCAUUUGACUUGACUCUGAUCUGAGCCCCCUCAUCUACCAAGAGGGCAGCAAGGCCAACCUCAAGGGUCGGGUGAGGGUGAGGAGGGGGCUGAGAGGCGGGUCUUGUUUCUGACAUGAUGGCCACUGGCCUGAGGGCCACCUCCUCAGGAAGCCCACCUGGCACCACCCCCCUGCUGCAUGAGCCCCGAGCUCCUGCGCCCAGGGUGGCUCCUGUCCAGCUCAGCACUGUCUCACGAUGCUCUGUCCCUGUCCCCUGUCCCUACCCGAGACGCUGACGGAAUCCUCACUGUGGAAGGUGUGCCCAGUGCCUGUCCCUCACUCCCGCCUGUGAUCCUCCAUCCAGGCCCGUCUGCCCUUCUGGGAGGCCCCUGCCAGCUCCCGGGCACUUUGAAUUGAGCCGGGGUCCUGCAGGGCUGAGUGGGGCAGGUGGAGUACCCGUGUCACUGGGUCUUGGUCGUCGCUGACAUGAGGAAGCAGGCCACGGUCCCCCGGCUCCCAGGAGGGACAGGGCGUGUUUGACAAAGUUUCCUGGUUUGUGGCAAAGUGGGUGGGUGGGGAAGCCAUGGUGGAGAGUACUUUAGAAAGCUCCAUCCCCACUUGAUUUAAAGCCAGGGACAGUAGCACAGGCCUGUAAACCCAGCACUCUGGGAAGCUGAGGCAGGAGGAUCACAAGUUCAAGCCCAGCCUGGUCAAUUUAGUAGUUUAGCAAGUCUAUAAUCCCAGCAGUCUGGUGGCUGAGGCAGUAGGAUCACCACAUGUCCGAGGCCAACCUGGGCUACUAAGUGAGCUCAAGUCCUGCCUGGACUAUGGAUCGAGACCCUGUCUCAAAAAGACAAUAAAUAAAAAAAAAAUAAACAAAUAAAAUUAAAAAGGGCUGGGGAUGUAGCUCAGCGCGAAGGACUCAGGUUCAGUCCCCAGUACUGUGACAAAAAGGAAGAAAGAAAAAAAGAAUGAACUGUCCCUCUUCUCCCGGAGACGCGUCCAUCCCCCUUCUCCUGCUGUUGAACAUGCUUGCUGGCGGAAGUUGCGUGGACGAGGCAGCCGUCAGAGCUGACAGGGACUUGCUCCUUUGGAUGUGCCAGGGCCGAGACCGUGGCAGCCCUGUGUGCGCCAGUCUGGAAACCUGUUGUUUUCCAGUCCUAAUUGGCACAAAAACCGGAGGCCCCCGUAGCGCCUGCCCUGCCCAGGUGAGCCCGCUGGCUGGCACACCCUAGGUAUGAGGUGAAGGCGUCAGGCCCUGCUCUCUCCCCCGAUGUUUAUUUUCAAAUCAAUGCCUCCGUGUGUGUUGAGACUUGCAGGGUGGAAUACAAACCUCAGGUUGAGUGCUGAUCCGACCUUUAGGAGGCCAAGGGGCAGGGCGUGGGUGGUGGAGCCUCUGGGAGUCGUGCCCACCGGGCUGGCACCCACGUGGCCCCACCCGGGAAGGAGGGGUGUGCUCUGUGCCUGGGGUCUGGGGAUGAGGAGGAUCUGGCGGAGCGAGGCGGGAAGGAAGGUUAAUUCUGCGGCGGGGGAUGAGGAGGCGUUGGUGUUUCUCUGGAAGCGGACAGCAGCGCGAGCCGAGCUGGUGGUGGGAGCAGACGGGCGCGUGGCACUCGAGGUGGAACAGUUAGUGGGUCGGGCAUCUUAGCAAGCAUGAGUGCUGAGUCUGAUUUUUAAAACAAAACCAAGAAACGAGCUAGUGAUCAAAGUAGGAGUCAAAGGCUGAGCUGGCUCUUUCCAACCAUGGUCCCCAUUUUCCCACCCAGGGACUCCAAUUCUGCCCUCUCUUCACCAAGCAAGAGGGGCGCGAGGGGCUCCUGGAGUUGCCCAGACAUUUUCUCUGCUUUCUCCUGUUCCCUGCCUCCUGGGGUUGGGUGCUUCGGCCACCGGCGUCCCCUUCACCUGGGCUGUGUAGCUGCUGCCCCUGUGCCCCAGGGCACCGCUCUGCCCGGCUGGCCUGGGCUUGGCCUCCCUGGCUCCAGGGCCCCAGGCAAACUCUGCCUCCCACUUUGUUCCUUCUCCCUGGAGCUUGCCUGCCCAGUCUGACGGGGACGCUGCCUUCCCCCCAUUUGUGGCUGCACCUGGUCAGCUCACAGGAAGAUCGCAGACCAGGCCUGCUGCCCCCUGGGAUCAAGCGUGGGCUUUGAACCUCGGCAGGCCAGGGCUGGGGCUGCAAACGUCCAUGCCAGGCACAGGAGGCCUCACGUUGUGGGCGCAGGAACUGGGCCUUCAUCUGAUGAAUGUGGGGAGCCCCGAGGGCCACUGAGCAGACAGUGACUGGCACCGACACAGGGGACUUUUCUGUCCACAGGCCUAGCUGGCCCAGAGCCCAGAGGAAGGAGCAGGGGACAGCGUCCUGAGAUGUGAUCUCCGGGGACCGCACAGCACUGCUACCAAAUGGCCAAAGGUGAUGGUGACCUUGCCCUGGUGAAGGACAUGGUUUGAGGAAAAUGACGGUGUCCUGUGCGGCCCAUGAAAUCCGGCUGUUCCAAGGCAUUCUGUGACAAAGCACCUGUGGGAAGUUGGAAUGACAGCUCUGUAACAGGUGUGCUGCUGGCGGGGCAACUGAACCAGGGACGGGGAGCAGAAUUUAAAUUCUGAGCUCUUUAGCAUCUCCCCCAAAUUAUCAGAUUCAGAAAACUGCAGGCAAAACAAGAGAGGGACACAACUACGGAAAAACGCCGACUUGCUCAGCACGUGGAAUCUCUUGCAGAAUCCAAACCUGAGUGCAUCUGAUUGUGUGUAUUACUCCCAGUGCCCCACACUGAGGUGGAGCGAAGUCAGGGAGUGUCAUCUCCCCCCUUGGGCCAUCAGCCACCUGCCUGGCAGCCCCUGUGUGUCCCUGGUGGCUGGGCAAGCUGGGGGACAUGAUGUCCUGGGCUUGCGACCUCCCCUGCAGGAUUCCAGGGACCUAGAACAUUUGCACUGAGCUACAUCUCCAGCCCCUGCCCUUUUUAUUUUGAGAGUAGGUCUUGCAAAGUCACUAACUUGCUCAGGAUGGACUUGAAUUUGUGAUCCUCCUGCCUCAGCCUCACAGAGAGCCGGGAUCACGCGUGUGGGCCACUAUACCUUGCUUUGAACUUCACUGUUACAUCAGGGUGAGGCCUUACGGGCCGCCAGCUGAUGACGGGAUAACACAGCAUCCCACCAGAUUCUUUGUACCUGGACCUCUGUCUAGUCACCACCCCUGCCACAGUCAAAGCCCAGUGUCCCCAGAUUGGCAAAAAACACAAGGCUCAGACACUUUGCUUUCCUCCUUCCCCAGCGGGUGGCCGGGCAGGACCUGUCCUUAUGCUGUGUCUUCACACCUCCCCUGGCAUAGGGAGGAGCUGUUGACCUAGAGGGGGGCUGGG